GACGAACGCUGGCGGCGUGCCUAAUACAUGCAAGUGGGACGCAAGGGAACACACUGUGCUUGCACACCGUGUUUUCUUGAGUCGCGAACGGGUGAGUAACGCGUAGGUAACCUGCCUAUUAGCGGGGGAUAACUAAUGGAAACGAUAGCUAAUACCGCAUAAUAUUAAUUAUUGCAUGAUAAUUGAUUGAAAGAUGCAAGCGCAUCACUAGUAGAUGGACCUGCGUUGUAUUAGCUAGUUGGUAAGGUAAGAGCUUACCAAGGCGACGAUACAUAGCCGACCUGAGAGGGUGAUCGGCCACACUGGGACUGAGACACGGCCCAGACUCCUACGGGAGGCAGCAGUAGGGAAUCUUCGGCAAUGGACGAAAGUCUGACCGAGCAACGCCGCGUGAGUGAAGAAGGUUUUCGGAUCGUAAAGCUCUGUUGUAAGUCAAGAACGUGUGUGAGAGUGGAAAGUUCACACAGUGACGGUAGCUUACCAGAAAGG
rnacentral:rRNA from 1 species